rnacentral:rRNA from 1 species
GAUGAACGCUGGCGGCGUGCCUAAUACAUGCAAGUCGAGCGAACGGACGAGAAGCUUGCUUCUCUGAUGUUAGCGGCGGACGGGUGAGUAACACGUGGAUAACCUACCUAUAAGACUGGGAUAACUUCGGGAAACCGGAGCUAAUACCGGAUGAUAUUUUGAACCGCAUGGUUCAAAAGUGAAAGACGGUCUUGCUGUCACUUAUAGAUGGAUCCGCGCUGCAUUAGCUAGUUGGAAAGGUAACGGCUUACCAAGGCAACGAUGCAUAGCCGACCUGAGAGGGUGAUCGGCCACACUGGAACUGAGACACGGUCCAGACUCCUACGGGAGGCAGCAGUAGGGAAUCUUCCGCAAUGGGCGAAAGCCUGACGGAGCAACGCCGCGUGAGUGAUGAAGGUCUUCGGAUCGUAAAACUCUGUUAUUAGGGAAGAACAUAUGUGUAAGUAACUGUGCACAUCUUGACGGUACCUAAUCAGAAAGCCACGGCUAACUACGUG